GGGGUUAUGGGCCAGCCUGGUAAGCUUCGAGGUUUGGGACUUCGCGACCCCGGUUCAAAUCCGGGUAGCCCCA
rfam:Archaeon GW2011_AR13 QT05_C0011, whole genome shotgun sequence.